UACGUAGGGUGCGAGCGUUGUCCGGAAUUAUUGGGCGUAAAGGGCUCGUAGGCGGUUUGUCGCGUCGGGAGUGAAAACCCAGGGCUUAACCCUGGGCUGGCUUCCGAUACGGGCAGACUAGAGGUAUGCAGGGGAGAACGGAAUUCCUGGUGUAGGCGGUGAAAUGCGCAGAUAUCAGGAGGAACACCGGUGGCGAAGGCGGUUCUCUGGGCAUUACCUGACGCUGAGGAGCGAAAGUGUGGGGAGCGAACAGG
rnacentral:rRNA from 1 species